rnacentral:tRNA from 2 species
CUCCCGGUAGCCAAGUUGGUUUAAGGCGCCAGACUGUAAAUCUGGAGAUCGGGUGUUCGACUCACCCCUGGGAGA